rnacentral:rRNA from 1 species
CACGUACUGUGCGAACGUUAUUCGGAAUUACUGGGCGUAAAGGGCGCGUAGGCGGCUUGGCCAGUCAGGCGUGAAAUUCCUGGGCUUAACCUGGGGACUGCGCUUGAUACUGCCAGGCUUGAGGCCGAGAGAGGGUGGUGGAAUUCCCAGUGUAGAGGUGAAAUUCGUAGAUAUUGGGAAGAACACCGGUGGCGAAGGCGACCACCUGGCUCGGUACUGACGCUGAGGCGCGACAGCGUGGGGAGCAAACAGG